UACCAGCACCCCGAGUGGUCGGGACGAUUAUUGGGCCUAAAGCAUCCGUAGCCGGCCUUACAAGUCCCCCGUUAAAUCCAACUGCUUAACAGAUGGGCUGCGGAGGAUACUAUAAGACUAGGAGGCAGGAGAGGCAAGCGGUAGCUCAGUGGGUAGGGGUAAAAUCCGUUGAUCCAUUGAAGACCACCAGUGGCGAAGGCGGCUUGCCAGAAUGCGCUCGACGGUGAGGGAUGAAAGCUGGGGGAGCAAACC
rnacentral:rRNA from 1 species